CUGCAUGUUUCUCCUUCCCAGAGGCUAGCAAAGAUUAGAAGGCGAAAAAAACGCACUCGUGAUGAAAUGUUCUCCGACCUCAUGCUGUCCUCCCACACUGACAGAGCACAGCAAAAUACGUGGAGGCAGACAAUGUCAGAGUGCAGGAAAACACAAUAUGACCGCGAGGAGAGGUGGCGGGCUGAAGAUGAUAUUGUGGAGCACACAGCAAGCAAUAAUAACAAUGAGGUCGGCUAAAAGAGCACCCUGGAGUACGGCAACAAUGGCUACCAAUAAUACUGCACUGUCUGCUGCCAAAGGCAAUGAGCUGCUGCUGUGUAGCAAUGCAGUACCGCGUCUGCCAGCACCCAGGAGACAUACGGUGACAGUGAGCUGAGCGGGCUCCAUGCUUGCCGUGGUAUGGCGUCUGCACAGGUGCUCCAUCCUCAGGGACCCUUCAGGGGAGACAAAAUUGAAGAAGAAUCUUAAACUUGGCAACUGAAUUCUCUGCCGCAGACUGAGACCCCCUGAGAAGUGAUCUCUUCUUUUCCAUGAAGAGAUCCUGAAAACAAAUACUGCAGGAGACUUUCUUUCCUCCAGCACAAAGUUUGUGUGGGAGUAAAUAAACCAGUGACAUCUUCUUUAUUUGAGAUGAGCCGUCAGUCUGUUAGGCAGUUUUGAAUCUAGCAGACAUAUGUGGGUUAUGUAGCUGUGGGGAGGUGGCACACCUCAGCAAACCUUGGUGAGUUUCAGUUCUAUCAUGAAAUGUGAAAUCAGUUGAGUUCUGCCUACUGACAGGGAAUUUGCUAUGAAGUUUUCACACAGGUCUUUGCCCUACAGCUAUUGGAGAUUUUCCUUUAACUAAACUAGCAGGGGCCUGGCUUUUUGUAGGAGAAAUGCCUGCAUUGCAAUUUUGCUGAUUACUGUGAUAAUCUGUUCAGGCACACUGUGCAGAACUGCUGUUUAGUUCUCUUGGUACCUCACUGACACCAUGCUCUUGCAUGGCAACAUCUGCGAGUAACGCUUUCUAACGUCUCUGGAUGGCUAGGAGACUCUGUCCCCUCCUGGCAGAUAGUGACCUUGCCUGAGUUAUCCAUUCCUUUGUCAUCUCUCAUCAUUGCUAUAGUACAGAUGAGAGAUGACAAAGGAAUAUAAGUCUACUGUGAGCACAUCAAAUGUGUCCUUCACUCUCUAGUCUCACUUCCCUUAGAAUACUGAGUCUAGUUCAAGGUUUUGGUCCUUAUCUUCAAGGCGCUCAGUCGCCUGGGCCCAGCAUAUCUAAUAGAUCGUGUAAAGCUCCAAGAUGAAGAGCAUUUUUUACAGCUCUGCUUCUCGGGUACAAUAGAACUUUCUACUGUAAGAGUAAAUCUCACCUGUGUAGGAAACAGGGCUUUCUCAGGGGCCUGUCCGAAACCAUGCAAUGAACUCCCACAAGAACUAAGAACCAUCAUAAACUUUCCACUCCAAGGGCAAAGUGUUCUUUUUCCACCUUGCAUUCUCUAAUAUAAACACAUAGCAACAUACAUAUCAAAGAAUUCCAAACAAAUAAAAUAAAUAUCCAACCAAAGAAAACACUCCACUUUACACACAAUUCUCUUCCUGGGGAGACAAUGAAAGGGAAAAAACAAAUCACACAUGCUCUGAUGUUAGGCAUGUCACAUAAUUCACUAGUGGAAGGUACUCAUAUACUAUGGUGAUGAGGGUGGUAUAAGACCCUAUGUGCAAUAGUAUAGAAUAGAAAUCAUUAUCUUAAAGUCCUUGCAACCUUGGAAGCAUUAUAGGUAAGGGAUUUCCAUUCCACACUGCAAGAGUGGAUGUGGGAUUAUUACUGAGGCCACUAUAGUGUGACCUAGGCUGGGUGAUAGAGAGAUAUGCCUUGCUGCAGAUUAGGUAUCUAGUAACAAGUUGCUUUGGAGGAUGUAUUAUUACAGGACAGUUCUCAUCUCAAGCUGAACUUGUUGGUUGUAGGCUUUAUUUUUGUCUGGCCUCAGAAUCUUGCAUUCAAACGCAUGCAAUCAAGAUUGUAACAUGAAUUAUUUCUCAAUAUGCCUACUCAGGGCAGCUCAAAGAUGCUGUAUUAACAACAUUCAUAUUCCAAUAAAUUGAAUGAUAUUUCCUCUCUGGAGCAAUACCAAAGAGGAAGAGGAAGUUUAC